CCUACGGGAGGCAGCAGUAAGGAAUAUUGGUCAAUGGACGCAAGUCUGAACCAGCCAUGCCGCGUGAAGGAUUAAGGCCCUCUGGGUUGUAAACUUCUUUUAUAGGGGACGAAAAAAGGGCAUUCUUGCUCACUUGACGGUACCCUAGGAAUAAGCACCGGCUAACUCCGUGCCAGCAGCCGCGGUAAUACGGAGGGUGCAAGCGUUAUCCGGAUUUACUGGGUUUAAAGGGUGCGUAGGUGGGUUGGUAAGUCAGUGGUGAAAUCUUCGAGCUUAACUCGGAAACUGCCAUUGAUACUAUCAAUCUUGAAUCAUCUAGAGGUAAGCGGAAUAUGUCAUGUAGCGGUGAAAUGCUUAGAUAUGACAUAGAACACCAAUUGCGAAGGCAGCUUACUAUGGAUGUAUUGACACUGAGGCACGAAAGCGUGGGGAUCAAACAGGAUUAGAUACCCUGGUAGUCCACGCCCUAAACGAUGGAUACUCGACAUUUGUGAUAUACUAUAAGUGUCUGAGCGAAAGCAUUAAGUAUCCCACCUGGGAAGUACGACCGCAAGGUUGAACUUAAGGAAUUGACGGCUGAGAGNGCGAGACGACGACGAGGGAGGAGG
rnacentral:rRNA from 1 species